rnacentral:rRNA from 1 species
AUUAACUGAAAAUGCUUUGUGUAAAGUGUCUGAUCUCGGAAGCUAAGCAGGGUUGGGUCUGGUUAGUACUUGGAUGGGAAACUGCCUGGGAAUACCAGCUGCUGUAAGCU